rnacentral:tRNA from 1 species
UGGGCUAUAGCCAAGCGGUAAGGCAACGGACUUUGACUCCGUCAUGCGCUGGAAUCCAGCUAGCCCAGCCA